AGCAGCCGCCGCCGGCCCUCGGGGGGGUCGUGGGCGCCCAAGUGAUCCCUGCGCAGCUCCUGCUCCACCAGCAUCAGCCUGCGGGGCCAGGCUUCACCGGGGUCACGCUGCCACCCCCUUUCCCCCCCCCCCCCAAAAAAAAAAAAAAAAGGGGGGGGGGGGGGGGACAGAAUGAAUGGGGAUAUGGGGGGGUACCCCAAGGGAUGGGGACACCCCCCCGGGGAUAAACGCUAGGGACAUGGGGACACCCCGGUGACACGCUGCCACCCCCCAGGGACACCCCUGGGGAUAAACCCUAGGGUCAUGGGGACACCCUGGUGACACGCUGCCACCCCCCAGGGACACCCCAGGGAAGCCUUGGGGACAUGCUGGGGACAGGGUGGGGACAAUCCCAGGACGCAGAGGGACACCCUGGGGUCAUGCUGCCACCCGCCCUGGGGACACCCUGGGGACAGGGACCCGGCCCAUGGGGAGGGGACACCAGGGGACUAUGAGCCACCAAGCACCGGGACCUCCUCAUGUCCCCCCCCCACUUCUGUCCCCAUGCACGUCCCAUGUCCCCCCCAUCCCUGUCCCCAUCCUGUCACCCCUUGUCCUGGUGGCCCUCCAGACCUCGUGUCCCCAGCCCCCUCCUUGUCCUGGUGUGUCCCCACAGAGCUCCCUGUCCCCCCAUGUCCCCCAUGUCCCCAUAUCCCUCUGUCACCUAUAUCCUGUCCCUGUGUCCCCCUAUGUCCCCAUAUGCUCCACGUCCCUUUGUGUCCCCCUGUGUCCCCAUGUCCGUGUCCCUCUGUGUCCCUUGUGUUGUUCUUUGUCCCCAAGUCCAUCUACGUGCCCCGUGUCCCAAUGUCCCCCAUGUCCCUCUUUGUCCCCAUAUGUUCCAUGUCCCUCUUCGUCCCCCAUGUUCCUUUAUGUCCUCCAUGUCCCUCUCUGUCCCCCUGUGUCCCCAUAUGUUCCGUGUUCCUCUACAUCCCCCAUGUCUCCCUAUGUUCUAUGUCCCUCUCUGUCCCCCAUGUCCCUCUAUGCCACCCCGUGUCCCUAUAUGCUCCACGUCCAUCUAUGUCCCCCAUAUCCCUCUAUGUCCCCAUAUGUUCCACAUCCAUCUAUGCUCCUCAUGUCCCUACAUUCCAUGUCCCUCAAUGACCCCGUGUGUCCCCAUAUGUUCCAUGUCCCUCUACGUCCCCCAUGUCCCCCUCUGUCCCCAUAUGUUCCAUGUCCCUCUGCGUCCCCCAUGUCCCCCUAUGUCCCCAUAUGCUCCAUGUCCUACACCCCCCUAUCCCCCAACACCCCCCUAUACCCAUCCAUCCCCCACCCCCCUUACGCCCCCCUCCCAUAUCCCCAAGCCCU
rnacentral:lncRNA from 1 species